GCUUACAUAGCACAGUGGCAGUGCACCGCCUUGGUAAGGCGGAGGUCUCGGGUUCGAACCCCGAUGUAAGCUCCA
rnacentral:tRNA from 1 species